CCUACGGGAGGCAGCAGUGAGGAAUAUUGGUCAAUGGACGAGAGUCUGAACCAGCCAAGUAGCGUGAAGGAUGACUGCCCUAUGGGUUGUAAACUUCUUUUAUAUGGGAAUAAAACGUUCCACGUGUGGGAUUUUGUAUGUACCAUAUGAAUAAGGAUCGGCUAACUCCGUGCCAGCAGCCGCGGUAAUACGGAGGAUCCGAGCGUUAUCCGGAUUUAUUGGGUUUAACGGGAGCGUAGGUGGAUUGUUAAGUCAGUUGUGAAAGUUUGCGGCUCAACCGUAAAAUUGCAGUUGAAACUGGCAGUCUUGAGUACAGUAGAGGUAGGCGGAAUUCAUGGUGUAGCGGUGAAAUGCUUAGAGAUCACGAAGAACUCCGAUUGCGAAGGCAGUUCACUGGACUGCAACUGACACUGAGGCUCGAAAGUGUGGGUAUCAAACAGGAUUAGAUACCCCGGUAGUC
rnacentral:rRNA from 1 species